rnacentral:rRNA from 1 species
UACGGGGGGAGCAAGCGUUGUUCGGAUUUACUGGGCGUAAAGGGCGCGUAGGCGGCGCAACAAGUCACUUGUGAAAUCUCUGGGCUUAACUCAGAACGGCCAAGUGAUACUGUCGCGCUAGAGUGCAGAAAGGGCAAUCGGAAUUCUUGGUGUAGCGGUGAAAUGCGUAGAUAUCAAGAGGAACACCUGAGGCGAAGGCGGGUUGCUAGGCUGACACUGACGCUGAUGCGCGAAAGCCAGGGGAGCAAACGGG